UCAAUCAAAAAGCGCUUUGAGCUUUCAGGCGGUCCUUCAAGGCUUCACCUCCGCAGGGAAAGCUCUUCUGUUGAGGUGGACACCCACAGUGAAAAUGCUACAUCAUCUGAGAGUGCCGGUCGCACCCUGCUGAUCCACGGCCCCGUGGAACUCAAAAGAGGCUGGAGGAGGCAGAAGCGGCACCUCUUCUUGCUCAGCGAUCUGUUGCUGAUAGCUAACAAAAAUUACAAAAAAAAAACUUUAAAAUAAAAAAUAAAGUACCCCUGAACACCAUAUGGAUUGCCAACUGUUUGGACAAAUUCGGAGAAGCCGACACCUCUGCCAAGAGGUCCUUUGUCUUGGGCUGGCCCACAGUGAACUUUGUGGCCACCUUCAGUUCUUCAGAACUAAAGGAAAAAUGGCACUCUUCCCUUCAAAGGUGCAUCAAUCUAGCCAAAGAGAAGGACCAGCCAAAGAGCAUUCCCCUCAAAAUCGUCACUGAGGACAUUAAGAACUGUGUCUGUGUGAUAUGAAGCAAGAGGAAUCUAUGAUGGCUUCAGUGCUUAAGCAUGGAAAGAAUAUUGCAUGGUAAAUGUUCCUAAUGUUUCUCUGGAUCCUGCUAAUGGUAAUUAUAGUGGCU
rnacentral:lncRNA from 1 species